rfam:Otolemur garnettii contig059651, whole genome shotgun sequence.
UACAUUAAUGUAACCACCCCGAACACACCCGAUCUCGUCUGAUCUCGGAAGCUAAGCAGGGUUGGGCCUGGUUAGUACUUGGAUGGGAGAAACCUUGCAUUUAAACAG